rnacentral:misc_RNA from 1 species
GGAGAGGUAAAUAUCUUAUCCUUUGAACAGACUAUUCUGGAAUCUAUGUGAGCAAUAAUAAUAUUUGUGAGUUGUGACAUGUUAAUAGUUUCCAAAUUUUUUAUUCCUAAAGGGGCUAUUUUUUAGUACCAAAAAUAAAAGUUCUAUAUCAUAUUGAACAAAAUAAAACAAGGAGGGCCCAAUUUUGCACAUUUCAAUAUAGUCCAGGAGCUUACAGAUGCAUUUGGCUGGGUUUUAAUCUUAUGGUAGCCAUUUUACAUGAAUGUUUGACCAUUGACAUGAAUAAAUAGUGUGUUUGUGUGUGUAAAUUGAUCUGAACUCCUUCUAUACUCAGAAAUUUCCUCAAGUAUAAAACUUCCAGGGAGUAACUGCUCAAUUUGACAAGCCAACUGGUAAGAAGUAUCAUACUGCAAUAGUCUAAGUAAAUCACAAAAAGAACUGAACCAACUCCUCUGGUUCAGUUUUCUUUUUAAUUACAUAUUUUUAAGGUUGGUUGGUUGAAGGUGGCAUUAUGUUCCUUAUCUUGGUUAGUUGCUCUUAACAGGAAUUUGACAGUUCUCUGUAGUUAUAAUAUAUUUGUCAUUGUAUACCAAGAGUUUAGUAGAACUUGUUAUGUGGUGUUGAUUGCUGUUAGAACUUCUUACAAUUUCAUAAUAUCUGCAACUUCUGUUUCAGUUGCAUUAGAAGAUAUUGGCAGGCCCUCAAGUUACACUUGUUUAAUACAAUUCAAGUUCAAUGUUCUAGGAUACCUUCUUUUUUUGUUCCUAGUUUUUUAUUAUGAUUUGAGAGUGCAAAUGGUGUUUGGAUCUUGGAGAAAUGUAAUGGUGAUUACCUUGUUAUUUACUGGAUGCUGAGAGUUUGCCUGUCCUUGGUCCAGGUUUAGGUCUUCUUGCCAAAACUUGCCUGCAUUCAUUGGCUACCUCAUAAACAAAUGGAAGUUCUAGUUGAGCAGUUUUCUACAGUUAAUGUCUUUCAUUUUUCUUGUAUGAAUAGUUUUCGAAAAUCCAAUGGUAUCUUCAGGUUGAUCUAGGAUCUCUCCAAGACACUGUACCAACAAACAGGAUUGUGGUUUUACGUGGAGGUUGGGGACUGUUCAGAAAGGGAUCUUAUGGAGAAAUACUUCUUCGACUAACAUAUAAAGCAUAUGUUGAGGAUGAAGAUGAUGAGAAGACAGCAGUGGAGUCCACUGAUACAGAUGCUUCAGAUGAUGAGUUGUCUGAUUCUGAAGAAUCAAAUACUACUUUCAAGUCAACCAGAAGGGAUUCAUAUAGUGAAUCAGAUAAAGAGUCAUUUAUGGAUGUUCUUGCAGCUUUAAUUGUCAGUGAGGAGUUUCAAGGGAUUGUGGCGUCUGAGACAGGAAGCAACAAAAUUUUGGAUGAUAUCUCAUCCGCAGCAUCACGUGGUCUUAAUGCUGAGUCAAUCCCUUCAGAUCCCUACAACAGUUCUGAAAGUUCAGGAGGAUCAGUCAUAGUUUGGCUUGCUGUGUUUACAAGCACUUUAGUUCUAAUAGCUGUCAAUAUGGGUGGCUCAAGUUUCUUCAACCCUUGAUAUGACAUCGAAAAGCUUGCAAAGAGUUGGUCUUAGUACUCCUAUUGAAGAAAAGGAAAUACCUUUCACUUCGGCAAUUGAGGAAUGGACCCGUCUGGUUCGGUUAAACAGGGGACAAGAAUCUAAAUGCGAAUAUCAUUGGGAAUGUCAUAUCCCUACGCUUGAAGUUGGUAAUAUAAGGGGGAAUGAGUUUCCCCCAUGUAAGGUUGUGCAGUAAAGCCCCUCUUCGCACAUCAUAGGUAUUAUUGGUUAUUUGAAUAGCAAUAUUCUUUUGGCCCCGGAAAAUUUUGAC